UCUGUGUUGAUUUGGACAUCCGAAAAUGAAGGAUUUUUUUGUUUCCAAAAGGAAAUCCUCUAAUAUUUCAAAGAAAUUACAAAUACAAUCUACGAUGGAAGAUCAUCGUUGGAAAUUUUAGAAACUGGAAACUGUACAACAAGCCAAUGUGUGAAAUGCAAUGUAGCAAAGAUGGGAGAAUUAUACUUUUUUUAAAGUAAUCCAAUCCAAGUAUAAAUUGUCAACACGCAGUAUAUCUGUUUGCCAUAUACAUAUUCAUACUGCUCAAAUUGAAUUCUUUGAAAAUAAAAAAAAUAGUAAAAAAAAAAAAAAAGUAUUGCCUAAGUGUUUUGGUAGUAUAAUAAUGUAUGAAGGAUGCUAUCACUCUUGUCAUAGAGGAUUGAUUUUAAUUUUAAAAAAAAUGUUUGGCAAAUUUUGUUCUGAUAUAUACCUUCAAAUUAUCAACAAAAAAACUUCAGAUCUCUUAUACAUAAUAGAAUGAUACCGCGUUGGGCAACUUCUAAGAGAUUGAAAACAGAUCAGAAUAUGUUAAAAAUGGUUCUCUAUGAGCACUAUAAUUACCAAUAGUUCUCAAUGGGUGCCAUAAUUACCACUUUCAUGAAUUAUCUCUUGGAAGAUGUAAUCACAUUGCAUAUUUUGCAAGAGAGUCAUUUCAGAUACAUUGAUCUCAUGACAAAGGAAAAAGUGCAAAAUUUACAGCUCAUUUCUUCUUGCUGCUUGUGUCCGUAAUGUGAUGGUAUAUUUACCUUAUUAUAUAGCCUUGUUUGUGCAAGUAAUCAAGAUAAAACUACCAGCAUUUUACUGUUGCAACUUGAGAAUAUCAACAAUAUGAGAAAGAAAAACCUUUACCUUCACAAUGAAAACUAAAUCUGACAGGAUAUCACCUUCAAAAUAAAUGACCAAAAGGAGCUCAAAAUCAAGGAAACAAACCAACAGAAUUUGUAAGUAAAUCAAUUUGAAAAGAAAUUUUAAUUCUUAGGAAAUCAACAUUGAACCAUCUUACUGAAACAAGGCUGUGGGGAAAAUUUUGGAUGUUGAAAUGUUCAUCUAAGGUAACAAAAUGAAACAUUUAUUUAGCAACAAACUUCAAACUGAGAAGACAAGUGGUGGAUAUGUAAGAAAUCAGAAAGAAGGAGGUGUUGUCGACACUCUGUUUAGUGGUGUACCUGUUGGAGACAGUGAAUUCAAGCUAAAAAUUAUUUUUUAUGUAAAUUACUAUAAAGCUGAAGUGUUAAAUAAUCUGAAAUGUUAAAAAUUCUCAAGUAUUAAAUUGUUAAACAUUAGAAUUUAAAAAAAACAAAAAAAAACCCAGAUCAUUUCAUGAAAAUUAAAGUGUUUUCUUUCUAAUUUUUGUUCUUAAUCAUUAAAACUUGGUACUUUUAUUUUUUAGGGUGAAUCUGUAGCUCUGCUGGGAGGAAAGAAUCCAAGAGAAACUUUGGAAGUCGUGGUAUAGCAUGUGCUGUUUAACUACGGAAAAGAUGUUGAGAAGUUCAAAAGUUUUGGUACCUAAAGGUAUUGUAUGUGUAGUUUGUUUCUUUUUGUUUGUGUUUUAAACUUGUUACCAUUUCUCUUACAGAUGGGACUGGAACUGUAUCAGAUACGAGAUCAGACUGUAAAAAACACCAGAAUUGAUGAAACCAUGUACAUGUACUUGGAAAUAUUAAGAUUUCUUACAAAAUAAAAAGUCACAUAUUU